GAAGAAGGCCUUAUGGUUGUAAAGCACUUUAAGCGAGGAGGAGGCUACUUUAGUUAAUACCUAGAGAUAGUGGACGUUACUCGCAGAAUAAGCACCGGCUAACUCUGUGCCAGCAGCCGCGGUAAUACAGAGGGUGCAAGCGUUAAUCGGAUUUACUGGGCGUAAAGCGCGCGUAGGCGGCUAAUUAAGUCAAAUGUGAAAUCCCCGAGCUUAACUUGGGAAUUGCAUUCGAUACUGGUUAGNUAGAGUGUGGGAGAGGAUGGUAGAAUUCCAGGUGUAGCGGUGAAAUGCGUAGAGAUCUGNAGGAAUACCGAUGGCGAAGGCAGCCAUCUGGCCUAACACUGACGCUGAGGUGCGAAAGCAUGGGGAGCAAACAGGAUUAGAUACCCUGGUAGUCCAUGCCGUAAACGAUGUCUACUAGCCGUUGGGGCCUUUGAGGCUUUAGUGGCGCAGCUAACGCGAUAAGUAGACCGCCUGGGGAGUACGGUCGCAAGACUAAAACUCAAAUGAAGGGACGGGGGCCCGCACAAGCGGUGGAGCAUGUGGUUUAAUUCGAUGCAACGCGAAGAACCUUACCUGGCCUUGACAUAGUAAGAACUUUCCAGAGAUGGAUUGGUGCCUUCGGGAACUUACAUACAGGUGNUGCAUGGCNGUCGUCAGCUCGUGUCGUGAGAUGUUGGGUUAAGUCCCGCAACGAGCGCAACCCUUUUCCUUAUUUGCCAGCGAGUAAUGUCGGGAACUUUAAGGAUACUGCCAGUGACAAACUGGAGGAAGGCGGGGACGACGUCAAGUCAUCAUGGCCCUUACGGCCAGGGCUACACACGUGCUACAAUGGUCGGUACAAAGGGUUGCUACCCAGCGAUAGGAUGCUAAUCUCAAAAAGCCGAUCGUAGUCCGGAUUGGAGUCUGCAACUCGACUCCAUGAA
rnacentral:rRNA from 1 species